AGAGUUUGAUCCUGGCUCAGACGAACGCUGGCGGCGUGGAUAAGACAUGCAAGUCGAACGAGAAUUGCGAAUAGCUUGCUAAUUGCAAUUUGAGUGGCGGACGGGUGAGUAACACGUGAGCAACCUGCCCGAAAGUGGGGAAUAGCCCGAGGAAACUCGGAUUAAUACCGCAUAUGAUUUCGCAGGGCAUCCUGCGAAAAUCAAAGCUGGGGAUCGUAAGACCUGGCGCUUUCGGAUGGGCUCGCGGCCUAUCAGCUUGUUGGUGAGGUAAUAGCUCACCAAGGCUACGACGGGUAACUGGUCUGAGAGGAUGAUCAGUCACACUGGAACUGAGACACGGUCCAGACACCUACGGGUGGCAGCAGUCGAGAAUCAUUCACAAUGGGGGAAACCCUGAUGGUGCGACGCCGCGUGGAGGAUGACGGCCCUAGGGUUGUAAACUCCUGUCAUCAGAGAGUAACGUUGUGUAAUUAAUACUUACGCAAUUUGAUAGUAUCUGAAGAGGAAGGGACGGCUAACUUCGUGCCAGCAGCCGCGGUAAUACGGAGGGUGCAAGCGUUAAUCGGAAUUACUGGGCGUAAAGCGCUCGUAGGCGGCUUGUUAAGUCGGAUGUGAAAGCCCUGGGCUCAACCUGGGAACUGCAUUCGAUACUGGCAAACUAGAGUAUAGUAGAGGCAAGUGGAAUUCCGGGUGUAGCGGUGAAAUGCGUAGAUAUCCGGAGGAACAUCAGUGGCGAAGGCGACUUGCUGGACUAAUACUGACGCUGAGGAGCGAAAGCGUGGGGAGCAAACGGGAUUAGAUACCCCGGUAGUCCACGCCGUAAACGAUGUCAACUAGCCGUUGGGGGUCUUAGUACCUUUAGUGGCGCAGCUAACGCAUUAAGUUGACCGCCUGGGGAGUACGGUCGCAAGACUAAAACUCAAAGGAAUUGACGGGGCCCGCACAAGCGGU
rnacentral:rRNA from 1 species